rnacentral:miRNA from 1 species
GUUUUCCCUGAAUCACUCCCA